rnacentral:lncRNA from 1 species
CCUGAUGAGGAGCAAGAAUGCCCCCUCUCACCCAGCCUUGUCAGGGCCAAGUGAAAGAAGCCCGGGCAGGCCUGGGGAAGCUGCCCAAGGAGCCUCAGUAGUCAAUGCUGGCAUCGUUUCUCCCUCAGCCCCGUCUCUGUCACUUUGAAGCUUUCUACUGGUUUCCUUUGAGUCCCCUCAGCUCCCCAGUCAGAUCAAGGAAGAGCUGGUUGUUGCUUUCACAGACUUCAGGGGCAAGCAGAUCUGAGUACCUCGGGGGUCAAACAGACCUGCCCCAACCACAGCGUUGAAGAGGAGAUCCAUUUCCUAAAAAUGGGGGGAGACAGCUAUUGGUGGGAUGCUCUAUUCACAUCUGUCUCCACUGCAUGUCUACAGAACGGCUCCCUGUAGUCUGGGAGUAGCAUUCCCUGGCUUCUCUGAGCUUCCUGCGGUCCACGAAAGGCUGUUUCCCUUGACAGAAGCCUUUCCUCUUCUUCCAUAUCUGGUUGACUGCAUGUCCUUUGGAGCCAGCCCUCUGGACUGAGGACUUGAAUCUCUGAUUAAUCCGCCCAGUACUCAGCUCCAUGGCCUCAGUGGUGUCCACGAGACUCUUGACACGGGACCUAUUCACAAGGGAAGGCACCUCCCCACAGAUGCACCUGAAAGCCGUGGACCCUGUGAUUCUCAGGAAUUCGGCUGACUGAUGGAGCAAUCCUUCCCACGCGGGUGAAGGUGGAGGACUCCCCUUGACCCAGACACACGGGUAUUCCGUGAGUUUCUUGACGGUGCCAGUUCCUCUGAAGUAUGGAUUUUACUCCUUGGUGUUGUCUGAUUAGAUAAACUCUCCAAGAUAAAGAUCCGGAUAUAUUGGCAAGGGACCUGGCUUUUAGAAAACACAUAUUCCUCAGAUUGAAAGUUGUAGGCCCUCUUUUCUCUCCAGAAACUCAGUCAUUUGCCCUGCAGAAUUUUCUACACUGUGGAUUUGCCUGACUACACCCUGUGGUGCUGUUCCUCUGUCUUGUUCUGGGAUUUCAAUGGAUUGAAUGAGGCCCAGCCACGCCGGAGAGGGCAAUCUGCUUUACUUACUUUACCAACUUGGAUGUGAAUCUCACGGAGAAGCUCUCCCACAGACACACCCAGAAUACUAUUUGACCAAAUGUCUGGAUAUCCUGUGGCUCAGUCAAGUUGUUACAUAAAAUUAACCAUCCCUGCUGGUAUGUACGGAAACAUUAGUUGGAGCACGG